UACGGAGGGUGCAAGCGUUAUCCGGAUUUACUGGGUUUAAAUGGUGUGUAGGCGGGCUUUUAAGUCAGUGGUGAAAUCUCCGGGCUCAACCUGGAAACUGCCAUUGAUACUAUUAGUCUUGAAUUCUGUUGAGGUAGGCGGAAUAAGUCAUGUAGCGGUGAAAUGCUUAGAUAUGACUUAGAACACCAAUUGCGAAGGCAGCUUACUAAACAGAUAUUGACGCUGAGGCACGAAAGCGUGGGGAUCAAACAGG
rnacentral:rRNA from 1 species